rnacentral:rRNA from 1 species
AACGAACGCUGGCGGCAUGCCUAACACAUGCAAGUCGAACGAGACCUUCGGGUCUGGUGGCGCACGGGUGCGUCACGCGUGGGAACCUGCCCUUAUGCUCCGAAUACCUCCCCGAAAGGGGUGCUAACAUCGGGUAAUUUCUUCGGAUCAAAGAUUCAUCCCCCUUGGAUGGGCCCGCGUUGGAUUAGCUAGUUGGUAGGGUAAAAGCCUAUCAAGGCGACGAUACAUAGCUGGUUUGAGAGGAUGAUCAGCCACACUGGGACUGAGACACGGCCCAGACUCCUACGGGAGGGAGCAGUGGGGAAUAUUGGACAAUGGGCGAAAGCCUGAUGCAGCAAUGCCGGGUGAGUGAUGAAGGCCUUAGGGUUGUAAAGCUCUUUUACCCGGGAUGAUAAUGACAGUACCGGGAGAAUAAGCUCCGGCUAACUCCGUG